rnacentral:lncRNA from 1 species
CUCAAUUGUGUAUUGUUUUUUUCUUCUUCUUUUCUUUCAACAGGUAUCGAAUGGACCGAGUACAAAAGGUCAUUGAAGAAUGAAGAGGGCAGGGCAAUGGAAUGUGGAAGUCUACUAAUUUGGGUUUCUUGUACAAAUCUUGAAGCUGCCUGCCAUGCUCUAUCUUUCUGUCUUUUCUUUUCUCCUUUGUAAUUCUUUUUUACUUGUUCAUUUUCCUUUUAGUUUGUAUUUGAUGGCCUCUCCCAAAAGAAUUGUUUUUUUAAGGGCAUGGAUCAUUUGUGGGGAUAAAAAGCUUCUUAAAAGUCUGUCUAUCAAGUAUCAUAUAUGUUUUUUAGACACUCUUAACAGUGUCGAUACGCAACGUAGCGUGUCAGUAUUGAUCAAUUAAUCAACUUACCAUAUAUGUUAUUAUAUAUGUUAUUUUUUUCUUUAUUAUUAUUUUUUGUAUAAAUAAAGAAACUUUUAUUGAAAUACUAUCUCAAUACACUCAGAUAAAUUGCUUUUUGCAAAUAAAUUUGGACCUAAAUCUUUGAAUGAAAAAUACUCCAAAAAUUACAAUUAAUCAUAUGAGACUGAGGAUAAAUUUUACUAAUAAAAUUUUAGUAUAAUGAUUACAGUAUUGUGACAACGUGCCCUUUUAUCUUUAAAUUUAUGCUUUUUUCACAACAAUAUUAUAUAUACUUGUGUUUCCAAACAAUAAUUAAUCAAGAGAAACUCCUCC